UACGGGGGAGCAAGCGUUGUUCGGAUUUACUGGCGUAAAGGCGCGUAGGCGGCGCAACAAGUCACUUGUGAAUCUCCGGGCUUAACCCGGAGCGGUCAAGUGAUACUGUCGUGCUAGAGUGCGGAAGGGCUACUGGAAUUCUCGGUGUAGCGGUGAAAUGCGUAGAUAUCCGAGGAGGAACACCUGCGGCGAAGGCGGUAGCUGGGCCGACACUGACGCUGAUGCGCGAAAGCCAGGGGAGCGAACGGG
rnacentral:rRNA from 1 species